rnacentral:rRNA from 1 species
CAAUCUUUUAUGAGAGUUUGAUCCUGGCUCAGGAUGAACGCUGGCGGCAUGUCUUAGGCAUGCAAGUCGAAC